GACGAACGCUGGCGGCGUGCUUAACACAUGCAAGUCGAACGAUGAUGCUGGAGCUUGCUCCAGUUGAUUAGUGGCGAACGGGUGAGUAACACGUGAGCAAUCUGCCCUUGACUCUGGGAUAACUGCGGGAAACUGUAGCUAAUACCGGAUACUUUCACCGGAAGGCAUCUUCUGGUGAUGAAAGAAUUUCGGUCAGGGAUGAGCUCGCGGCCUAUCAGCUUGUUGGUGAGGUAACGGCUCACCAAGGCGACGACGGGUAGCCGGCCUGAGAGGGAGACCGGCCACACUGGGACUAAGACACGGCCAGGACUCCGCCGGGAGGCAGCAGUGGGAAAUAUUGCACAAGGGGCGCAAGCCUGAUGCAGCACCGCCGCGUGGGGGAUGAAGGCUUUCGGUUUAUAAACCUCUUUUAGCAGGGAAGAAGCGAAAGUGCCGGUACCUGAAGAAAAAGCACCGGCUAACUACGUGCCACCCGCCGCGGUAA
rnacentral:rRNA from 1 species